rfam:Trichomalopsis sarcophagae strain Alberta scaffold1024, whole genome shotgun sequence.
CAAUCGGCCCUUAUCAGGGCCACCAAAUAUUUAAAACGUACAUACC